ACGGGUGAAACCCGGCGAGCAUCGCCGCUGCUGCCGCCGAAAUGGUGUGGAAGCCCGUCACUACCCUGAUGACCACCGUCCUCCGCCCAGAUCGGAGCUCGGUAGAGGAGCCCCGAUCUCACCACGCCGACGUACAGCCGGCGCACUCCGACGCACGGCCCGUCGCCUCGACAGACGAUGUCAGGCGCUCGAAGUGAGCGCCGAAGGUCCAGUGGCUGUCGAGGGUCAGGCCUAAAUAUUUCAUGCUGGUUCCGACCCCGAUCUCAGCCCCCUCCUGACCUGGGAUCUCGAACAGCAACGCCUCCGUGAUCGCCUUCCUCAGUCUCAACUCCGUGAUGUCAAGUACGGAGAGCUUGACUUCCCUUCUCAGCACCGUCAUCGCAUCCCUAUACGUGAAGCCGGAGCCGUCCCUCACAGUGAGCGAUACCGCGGCAAACCGUGGGGGUCGAGGAAGGCCGGGUACUUCCU
rnacentral:misc_RNA from 1 species